UACGGAGGAUGCAAGCGUUAUCCGGAAUGAUUGGGCGUAAAGCGUCCGCAGGUGGCUAUGUAAGUCUGCUGUUAAAGAGUCUAGCUCAACUAGAUAAGAGCAGUGGAAACUACAAGGCUAGAGUACGUUCGGGGCAGAGGGAAUUCCAGGUGUAGCGGUGAAAUGCGUAGAUAUCUGGAGGAACACCGGUGGCGAAGGCGGCAUCCUGGACCGAAACUGACACUGAGGCGCGAAAGCCAGGGGAGCAAACGGG
rnacentral:rRNA from 1 species